UACGGGGGGCGCAAGCGUUAUUCGGAAUUAUUGGGCGUAAAGGGCGCGUAGGCGGUUGAAUAAGUCAGAUGUGAAAGCCCUUGGCUUAACCAAGGAAGUGCAUUUGAUACUAUUUGACUUGAGUAUGGGAGAGGGAAGUGGAAUUCCUGGUGUAGAGGUGAAAUUCGUAGAUAUCAGGAGGAACACCGGUGGCGAAAGCGACUUCCGGGACCAAUACUGACGAUGAGGCGCGAAGGCGUGGGGAGCAAACAGG
rnacentral:rRNA from 1 species